CGUGUCCAGUAUUGGUCGUGGAGUUUUGUCGCUGUGUGCAUCUCUGCAUCAUUAGACGGAAUACAAACUGCAGGCAUGUUCAACGACCCAUUUGGCUUUCCAUUGGGAACUGAUGUUAUAAACUGUUGGGCAGAUGUUCUGCAAGUGCGAGUGGGGACUUCCUGGAUUUUAAUCUUCCAUCUGAUAAACGAGGAAGCUCUAACAUCAAAAUGGAUGGAUGAAUCUAGCAGGAGAGCUCCCCAGCAGAUUGUGU
rnacentral:lncRNA from 1 species